GCCCCUGUGGCGAAAUGGUAUACGCAGUCGACUUAAAAUCGAUCGCUACGGCUUGCGGGUUCGAGUCCCGCCAGGGGCA
rnacentral:tRNA from 2 species